GAUGAAGAACGUAGCGAAAUGCGAUACGUAAUGUGAAUUGCAGAAUUCAGUGAAUCAUCGAGUCUUUGAACGCACAUUGCGCCCUCUGGUAUUCCGGAGGGCAUGCCUGUCCGAGCGUCAUUGCUGCCCUCAAGCACGGCUUGUGUGUUGGGCUCCGUCCCCCGAUCCCGGGGGACGGGCCCGAAAGGCAGCGGCGGCACCGCGUCCGGUCCUCGAGCGUAUGGGGCUUUGUCACCCGCUCUGUAGGCCCGGCCGGCGCUUGCCGAUCAACCAAAUUUUUAUCCAGGUUGACCUCGGAUCAGGUAGGGAUAGCCGCUGAACUUAAGCAUAUCAAUAAGCGGAGGA
rnacentral:misc_RNA from 1 species